CAAAGAUUUAUUUUUGUUCGCAUGUUUGUGCUGGUGCCACAUGUGUGGACUUUUGGAGGCCAAACGAUCAAGCUGGAUUUGGAUUCCCUGGAGCUGCAGUUACAGGCAGUUGUGAGCCACCUAAUGUGGGUGCUGGGAGCUGAACUAGGAAAAGCAGUAAAUGUCCAACCUGCAGCUUGGGGUUGCACAUAUCCCAGUGUGCUGUGAAUGCAGCCCAACACACCUGUAGAUGACAUCAUACUACCUUAAGUCUCCUUUAGUCACUACUGUCUUUCCUGGCACAUCUGUAGAUGAUAUCAUAUUACCUUGUUAAGUCUGAGAGGCAAGCUUUGUCUCCUUUAGUCACUACUGUCUUUCCUAUAGCAGACUCAAAGCAGAAUACAUGUUUAUGAGGGACUGGGUGUUGGGGAAGCCUAGUAACCCCAUAAAGGCAUCAUAGACUCAGGCUCGAAUCUCUGCAGAUUGGGCUUCUAACCACCAUGGCCAUCCUCCUGCAUGAGAUCCCCCAUGAGGUGGGUGACUUUGCUAUCCUGCUCCGGGCUGGCUUUGACCGAUGGACCGCAGCCAAGCUACAGUUUUCUACAGCCCUGGGAGGCCUUCUGGGGGCCUGCUUUGCCAUCUGUACGCAAUCCCCCAAAGGAGUAGAGGAGACGGUGGUCUGGACCCUGCCCUUUACCUCAGGAGGCUUUCUCUAUGUUGCCCUGGUGAAUGUGCUACCUGACCUCUUGGAGGAAGAUGACCCAUGGCACUCCCUGCAGCAGGUGCUGCUGCUCUGCUCCGGUAUCGUGGUGAUGGUGCUGCUCUCGUUGUUCGUUGAAUAACCACUGCUGACAGCCCACUCUGCAUAGCAAGCAAUAA
rnacentral:lncRNA from 1 species